rnacentral:rRNA from 1 species
CCUACGGGGCGCUGCAGUGGGGGAUAUUGCACAAUGGGGGGAACCCUGAUGCAGCGACGCCGCGUGGGUGAAGAAGCGCCUCGGCGCGUAAAGCCCUGUCAGCAGGGAAGAAAAUGACGGUACCUGAAGAAGAAGCCCCGGCUAACUACGUGCCAGCAGCCGCGGGAAUACGGAGGGGGCAAGCGUUAUCCGGAUUUACUGGGUGUAAAGGGGGCGCAGACGGCGAUGCAAGCCAGGAGUGAAAGCCCGGGGCCCAACCCCGGGACUGCUCUUGGAACUGCGUGGCUGGAGUGCAGGAGGGGCAGGCGGAAUUCCUGGUGUAGCGGUGAAAUGCGUAGAUAUCAGGAGGAACACCGGUGGCGAAGGCGGCCUGCUGGACUGCAACUGACGUUGAGGCCCGAAAGCGUGGGGAGCAAACAGGAUUAGAUACCCGAGUAGUC